UACGAAGGGGGCUAGCGUUGCUCGGAAUCACUGGGCGUAAAGGGCGCGUAGGCGGCCAUUCAAGUCGGGGGUGAAAGCCUGUGGCUCAACCACAGAAUUGCCUUCGAUACUGUUUGGCUUGAGUUUGGUAGAGGUUGGUGGAACUGCGAGUGUAGAGGUGAAAUUCGUAGAUAUUCGCAAGAACACCAGUGGCGAAGGCGGCCAACUGGACCAACAC
rnacentral:rRNA from 1 species